rnacentral:rRNA from 1 species
UACGUAGGGGGCAAGCGUUGUCCGGAUUUAUUGGAAUUAAAGGGUGCGUAGGCGGUUUAUUAAGUCAGUGGUGAAAGACGAUAGCUUAACUAUCGAGGUGCCAUUGAUACUGAUGAACUUGAGUGCACACGAGGUAAGCGGAAUGGACGGUGUAGUGGUGAAAUGCAUAGAUAUCGUCCAGAACACCGAUAGUGAAGACAUCUUACCAGAGUGCAACUGACGCUGAGGCAAGAAAGUGUGGGGAUCAAACAGG